rnacentral:rRNA from 1 species
UACGUAGGGUGCAAGCGUUAAUCGGAAUUACUGGGCGUAAAGCGUGCGCAGGCGGUUCUGCAAGUCAGAUGUGAAAUCCCCGGGCUCAACCUGGGAACUGCAUUUGAAACUACGGAGCUAGAGUGUGUCAGAGGGGGGUAGAAUUCCACGUGUAGCAGUGAAAUGCGUAGAGAUGUGGAGGAAUACCGAUGGCGAAGGCAGCCCCCUGGGAUGACACUGACGCUCAUGCACGAAAGCGUGGGGAGCAAACAGG